GUCUGACAUGUGUGCGAGUCAA
rnacentral:snRNA from 1 species